GACGAACGCUGGCGGCGUGCUUAACACAUGCCAGUCGAACGGAAAGGCCUGCUUUCCCUUGUGGAUUGCGGGUACUCGAGUGGCGAACGGGUGAGUAACACGUGAGUGAUCUGCCCCCAACUUGGGUAUAAGCCUGGGAAACUGGGUCUAAUUCCCGAUAGGACUGCAGGGUGGUGCCUGUGGUGGAAAACGAUUUUCUAGUGGUUGGGGAUGAGCUCGCGGCCUAUCAGCUUGUUGGUGGGGUAAUGGCCUACCAAGGCGGCGACGGGUAGCCGGCCUGAGAGGGUGGACGGCCACAGUGGGACUGAGAUACGGCCCAGACUCCUACGGGAGGCAGCAGUGGGGAAUAUGGCACAAUGGGCGGAAGCCUGAUGCAGCGACGCCGCGUGGGGGAUGACGGCCUUCGGGUUGUAAACUCCUUUCGACCGCGAGGAAGCCACCUGGUUGGAAGGGUGGUGACGGUAGUGGUAGAAGAAGCACCGGCUAACUACGUG
rnacentral:rRNA from 1 species